UUUGGCUUUUAUUUUCUGUGUUAGAUAAAUUAUUUGAAAAACCGAGCUCGAAAGCACAAUAUCCACUUGAAAACUUUACCCAUUGGAUUUACAAAAAGGAGAGAGAAUUCAACCACCUUCAACAAGAAGGAGCAAAGGUUCUACUGGCAUUUGAAGCUCAUAUUUCCUCACAGUCAUGCUGAAUACACAGUAAAAAGGGUGCCCGAUGAUAAAACACUAGGUGAAAUCCUUAAACCUUACCUUGAUCCUGAAGAAUCAGAUCCUGUUAUUCGUCAAAGAUUAAAAAUAUAUACAAUGUCUCCUCAGUCAGAUGUGCAAAUUUUAAUGAAAAUAGAAAACAGGCAACAUAAUUCUGUCAGGUAAGGGAUAUAUUUUUUCUGUAUGUAGGCUGUUUGUUUAUUUUU